rnacentral:lncRNA from 1 species
GGUAAUCGUGUCCAGUUAAACUUACAGUUUUGGCCUGGUCUUCAAAUUGGGUAGUGCGUGAUGCAGGGAGAGUAUGCAUAGGAUUUGAUUGCUCUUCACAAUAGAUGGCAUCAGUGAGAUUGUUGAUUCUAUUCAUAUCAUGGUUGCUGUCAGGCAAACUAGAAGAGGGUGGUAUAUGAUCUGAAAAAUUAAUUUCAUGAAUACAGCGUUAAGCAAGAACAGAUAUGACUCCUAAACAAUUAAAGGCUGAGCAUAUGGGUAACAAUCCUCACAGCUGCAGAUUGUAAUGUAAGCCGAAAGGGGUGAGAUAAAUAUGAAAAGGAUAUUAAGAACUCAUGCAAUCAAUUAAAAAUAAAAUAGCAAACUAUAGGAAAAAACAUAUUCAAUUGCUAAACAAGUUGGUUGUGCGGAUAUAUACGAGGCGAUUUAGUGGAGCGAAUCGUGCCACUUUGAAACGUAUCAUGAAGAACGGCUGCCUAAUGUAAAUAGGGUGUAUCAGAAUAGGGAAAAAGUGUACUGAUCUCGUUAAGACUAUGUCUUGAUAUAUAAGUGUAAUACAUAAGAAUAAGAUACAACCUGGAAAAGAGAUAAAGAGAAAAUUCAGACUACAUAGUGCUAACCUGAGCAAGUAGUAGUACGUGCAUGGUCGUCCCUGCAAGCUUCUUGAUGAGGUUUAGUGCAAGGUGUAGUGCCACCAGUUUUAGAUGUGGCGGGAUCUGUGACCAAGAUUUCCAAAAUAACUGCUGUUAAGCUUUUAUGGUAAAUGGUCAUUACCGAGCAUUUUGCUUGUUGUAGUAUGCAAUACGCAGUACCUGGGGUGUAUGAGUUUUGGCCGUUGCCAUCCCUUAAUACGUCAUCUCUGUAGCAAGAACUUGGGGGUCCUGAAAACACCACCGUUUCCAUGCUCGAAUACUUGAUGUACAGAAAGUAAUGUACAGAAAAAUAAGUUGAAACUUUCAGGAGCAAUUUGAUUAGGAAUUGAAAA